CAGUAGCCACGGUAAAACGUAGGUGGCAAGCGUUGUCCGGAAUUAUUGGGCGUAAAGGGCUCGCAGGCGGUUUCUUAAGUCUGAUGUGAAAGCCCCCGGCUCAACCGGGGAGGGUCAUUGGAAACUGGGAAACUUGAGUGCAGAAGAGGAGAGUGGAAUUCCACGUGUAGCGGUGAAAUGCGUAGAGAUGUGGAGGAACACCAGUGGCGAAGGCGACUCUCUGGUCUGUAACUGACGCUGAGGAGCGAAAGCGAGGGGAGCGAACAGGAUUAGAUACCCGUGUAGUCCCUGUCUCUUAUAA
rnacentral:rRNA from 1 species